UAGGUCGUUCCAAGCGGCCUCCUUCGCCU
rnacentral:sRNA from 1 species